AUUGAACGCUGGCGGCAUGCCUUACACAUGCAAGUCGAACGGCAGCACGGACUUCGGUCUGGUGGCGAGUGGCGAACGGGUGAGUAAUAUAUCGGAACAUACCCAGUAGUGGGGGAUAACUAUCCGAAAGGAUAGCUAAUACCGCAUACGAUCUGUGGAUGAAAGCAGGGGAUCUUCGGACCUUGUGCUAUUGGAAUGGCCGAUAUCUGAUAGCUAGUUGGUAGGGUAAAAGCCUACCAAGGCGACGAUCAGUAGCUGGUCUGAGAGGACGACCAGCCACACUGGAACUGAGACACGGUCCAGACUCCUACGGGAGGCAGCAGUGGGGAAUUUUGGGACAAUGGGGGCAACCCUGAUCCAGCAAUGCCGCGUGAGUGAAGAAGGCCCUCGGGUUGUAAAGCUCUUUUGUCAGGGAAGAAACGGAGUUCUCUAAUAUAGGAUUCUAAUGACGGUACCUGAAGAAUAAGCACCGGCUAACUACGUGCCAGCACG
rnacentral:rRNA from 1 species